rnacentral:pre_miRNA from 18 species
UCACCUUGUCCUCACGGUCCAGUUUUCCCAGGAAUCCCUUAGAUGCUAAGAUGGGGAUUCCUGGAAAUACUGUUCUUGAGGUCAUGGCU